UCACUUCUUCAUCAAAGGGCAGGCCAAAA
rnacentral:sRNA from 1 species